CCAGCUGCUACAGCACUGGAGCCUGCACCAGUGGUGGCUUUGGUGUUGGCGGCAUUCGUGCUGGGUGCUGCGCUGGCCGCUGGGCUUGGUCUCGUCUGUGCACACUCAGCACCCCCACCUCCAGGCCAGCCUCGUAGAGCUUCGCUCAGCGGCCCCCAGCUCCAGAGGCCCCAGUAGUCAGAGAUGGCAUGCCCCAGUGAGGUUCUGAGAUUCAUCCAGCCAUGAUUUCAGUUCCCUUUGGAAGGAAUCCUGCAUGCACGUCUCCCCUGCCUCCCUUCCUUCCUCCCUCCCUCCCUCCCUCCUUGUCCUCACUCCCCUGUUCAAAAUAAAUUGGUGACCUGCUAACUUC
rnacentral:lncRNA from 1 species